GCCAUGAAAAAGUAAACAAAAAAAAGGCAACCGGCAAGGCUUUCUGCCUCCAUAAAUCAUAAUCAUUACUAGCUUGAAGCAAAUUCAAAGCAAAAUUAGGUUACAUGAAUACACAAAUUGUUAUGAGUUAUGCUCCUAGUGCUAGUGAUAGCCUACAUUUUUCAAUUCAUUUGCACUUGCUUGCUGGUCAUCACCCCCUUUUCCCAAAAACACAAGCCGACCAUGUUGACGAAUAGCAACCUCUCUUAUGCGACGAACAAGACCAGUGAUCGGAUCAGUGAACAGCCUGGACUCCAGACUUCCCUCCAGAUAAAUAAUUGAACCUGGUAAAAUACUCUUCAUAAAAAGACUCCCCAACCUUUCUUGGUAAACUGCAACCCGGUGCCACUGAACAGAAGACCGAUUUUCAUACUCUCCUGGCUCCUCAUUCUGUAAUGGCCUCCUAUUAUUGCGAAUACCACCUGUCCCCAGGGAGAACAUUGUCACAGUCCUCCCAUUCCUCAACUUCUUCUGCCAUGGACUCCUCCCAACCUGCCCCACCAAUAUUGCCC
rnacentral:misc_RNA from 1 species